AUAAUAAUACAAUUUUCUAGACGUUGCACAAGAAUAGCCGAGCGACUGCGUCAACUUGCGUGUUUAACAUUUAACGCAUCUUUCGUGCUCCCUCAACUUGGCUGUAAAUUGUUCAAUCGUAAAAGUUAGCAUGUCGGUAUUUUUGUGUUUUAAAUGAAUGUUGGUACUGAUGUUGGCUCUGCUUCAAAAGUUGGGACUCAAUUUGUACUCCCAGAAUGGUCUCGUUUUAUUUUAAUUUUGCAUGCCUUGGCGGUCACCGUAUGUUUGCAUUCCUUUCGCUUUGGGCUCCAAAUGAGCUCGUGCGUGUGAGAUAUCUUGGAACGCGUGGGAGGGCGCGCGUGCGCGUUUCUAACUUGUUCUGGGUGUGGUGGUGGUGGCGGCGGCAAAUGCCACAGCAGCAGAGUCAUGCAUGGAUCUACUGGCGGUGUUCCUUUUCACCUUGAUUUUGACACACCGCCGCCAACAUCUGCAGCAUACGCGCACGACGUUGGACAUUUGUCAUGUUGACCUGAGGCUUUAAUUUCGUGCUUACUUGCUUCCCUUUGUCAUUUUUCCCACAGGGAAUAGAACUAGACUGUCGCUUGUCUAAACUGCUAGCAUCACUUCCACAAAAUAUUGCAUUAAUCGUAUAGGUUAUUAACUGCCAAACAAAUGGGGAGGGAAAUUAUCCACUUGCCAAGCUUAAAAAGGAUGUUUGACAGACAGAUAAUGGGUAGAGAAAGGUGUCAACACGUUUUGGUGUUCAUUAGAAGAAGUUAAAUGUACAGUAAACCUAAAACAAAGUAAAACAUUUGAUAAUGCCUGACGUUACUUAUCUGGCGCCAUCAGAAAUAAAAUGUCUCUUUCUAGCUUGAUCUGUAACCAUUGGAAAACAUUAACAAAUAUGUCAUGUCAUUUCACUGUCAAGCGAGUGGAACGGGAAGUUAACGUCUGUGCAGUAUCAAGCCAGAACAGAACACAACAUCUUUGAAGAUGACCCAUAUUACAGUAUCUGUAUAGAAACAUUUGUAUUUCUCUGGAAGGCGCUACAAGUUGAAGUAGUUAUUUUAUGAACUGUAAAGGUUAAUAGGGGUAAGAGAAGUAAAGCUACUUUCUGUUUGUCAUUCUGGCUUUUUUUUUUUUGUGCUGGACUGUAGUCUGAACAUUUCAAUUCAGUUUUAUGGGCACAACUGAUUUGCUAUGAGCGUUGUCAUGGAACUAAUUGAAUUUCUAAGUACCGCUGUAAAGUAUUUACAUCUGCUUGGGCAAGUUUGACAGUUUAUGUAUUGUGCAAUACAGUUGAACAAAGUCCAAAAAAUGCAAAUGUGACUUUCCCGUCACUAUUUUUCAUUUCCUGUUCUAAGGAUAUCCACGUGUGUUUCCUCAUUGCUAUCAUCACAAUGCUUUUUUU